AUAUUGCGCAAUGGAGGAAACUCUGACGUAGCGACGCUGCGUGAGCGAUGAAGGUUUUCGGACCGNAAAGCCCUGUCCUUGGGGAANAAGGACGUCAUUUAUGACGCCUUGACGGUACCCGAGGAGGAAGCCCCGGCUAACUACGUGCCAGCAGCCGCGGUAAUACGUAGGGGGCAAGCGUUGUCCGGAAUUAUUGGGCGUAAAGGUUGCGUAGGCGGCCUUUUAAGUCAGAUGAGAAAGACCACGGCUUAACCGUGGGGUUGCAUUUGAAACUGGAGGGCUUGAGUAUCGGAGAGGGUAGUGGAAUUCCCAGUGUAGCGGUGAUAUGCGUAGAUAUUGGGAGGAACACCAGUGGCGAAGGCGACUACCUGGACGAAAACUGACGCUGAUGCACGAAAGCUAGGGGAGCAAACA
rnacentral:rRNA from 1 species